rnacentral:rRNA from 1 species
AACGCGAAGAACCUUACCUGGGCUCGAAAUGUAGUGGACCGGGGUAGAAAUAUCCCUUCCUAGCAAUAGGCUGCUAUAUAGGUGCUGCAUGGCUGUCGUCAGCUCGUGUCGUGAGAUGUUGGGUUAAGUCCCGCAACGAGCGCAACCCUUAUUACCAGUUGCCAUCAUUUAGUUGGGCACUCUGGUGAGACCGCCUCGGAUAACGGGGAGGAAGGUGGGGAUGACGUCAAGUCCUCAUGGCCUUUAUGUCCAGGGCUACACACGUGCUACAAUGGCCGGUACAAACCGUCGCAAACCCGUGAGGGGGAGCUAAUCGGAGAAAGCCGGCCUCAGUUCGGAUUGGAGUCUGCAACUCGACUCCAUGAAGCUGGAAUCGCUAGUAAUCGCAGAUCAGAACGCUGCGGUGAAUACGUUCCCGGGCCUUGUA